GGCUCUCCACCCUUUCCCGCCUGAGAACCAUGGCCUCGGAUUUGGAGGGUAUCAGAUGGGAACUAGACUCCCCCCUCUUUUCUCCCCAUCGGUGGAUCCUCCUGAUAAGGAUAAGAGUGGUUCCAUUGCUCACGGCUGAAGAGAAACUUGGCACAGGGGACAGUACAUCGAUGACAUGAUGGCAUCAUUCCUUGGAGGAUUAGGCUGUUUGCAUCUGCCACAAAUGUCUGUAUUGUGGUACACUGUCAUCACCAUAUGCAGUGGGACACAGUGUCACCAGUAUUGUGAAGCUACGAGCAAGAAAAGAAACUUUGGGUUCCCCUUCAAGUAAUGUCACAUACAAGUCCAGGAUUUUUUUUUUAAAUAUAUGCCCAGAUAGCAUUUGAUGCCAGCAACAUGUUUCAAAAAAGUUGGGAUGGGGCAACAAAAGGCAACCGGUCAUUAUUAGAUAUAAAAAGAGAGGCUGAUGGGAAUGGGUUUACCACUCUCUGAAAGACAGGCAGGCAAAUAGUGCAACAGUUCAAGAAUAACAUUUCUCCACAUAGCAAAGAACUUGGGGAUUGCAUGAACUAUGGCACUCAAAAUUAAUAAAAGAUUUAGAUAAUCCAGACAGAUCUCUGUAUGCAAAGGACAAGGGCAAAAAAAACAAUACUGGCUGGCCGUGAUCUUCAAGCGAAGCGACGCUGAUAUAUUUUUAAGAACAACUGAACUGGAGUUAGUGGAGUUUAAAACAGCACCUCAUGUAUUUCCAUGACGUCAGUGAGCGUGAACAGCCAAUGAGCACUCACUAGCAGUAAUGCCUGCCUUCUUCUGCCCCAUACCUGUUUACUGCAGAAAAAACGGAAAUAUAUAGGUGAGUUGCCUUUUGUAGUGCAUUAGCAGCCUCCGAGGCACAAAAAACAGAGCAUCAAUAGAGUCUUUAAGACUGUUGACAAUAUUUUGCCUCCUUCCAGGCUGUUUUUCAGGUUAUCGUACAAGACUGAACAAGGUGGUUAUCAGGCUAGACAGUCUUCAUGGUUUCAAAGGCAGAUAAAAUGUUGAUGCUGCUUAAGCCUGUCAACAAAGCAACACAUUAUUGCAAGCUACUUAUGUUGUUGCGCUUUGCUUCAGACUGAAGAAGGAUGAGCAAGAUUCCUGUCAGGCUAUACUUCUCAGGCUGCUAACCCCAAGUACCCAGACAGGAGUUCAUCGGUUCUUAAGCACAACUACCUAAGUAGCCUGUAAGAAGGUGUUAAAAGUCAUGCAUGAACAAUGUUUUUUUUUUGUUUUUUUUUCUCUGAGGCCACAGACACAAGCUAGCCUGACAGGAAUCUGGUUCACCCUUAUUCAGUCUGAUUCAAUGAACAGUCUGGAAGGAGACUUUACGCUCUUUUAGAGGCAUAAACAUCUUAACCAGUUUCUAAGGCUGUUAACAGAACAAGACAUACUUGUAAGCUUCUUAUGUCAUUGCACUUAGUUUCAGACUGAAGAAAGGUGAGUCAGAUUCCUGUCAGGCUUCCUAGUGUUAGCAGCUUGAAUAGACUUGUGUAGACCUCUCAGGCUGUUAACACUAAGUAGCCUGACAGGAGUCUAGCUCAUCUGUCUUUGACCUUAAGCACAACUACAUAAGUAACCUGCAAAAAGGUCUUGUCUUGUUAACAGUCUAAAAGACAAACAAUAUUACCUGUAACCUGAGGCCACAAACACAAGUUGCCUGACAAGAAUCUGGUUCACUAUUUUUCAGUCAAAUGCAAGGCACAAUGACUGAUAAACAGCCUGGAAGGACACUUCGCUUACGUAGAGGUAUACAUGUCUUUACCUUUUUCUAAGUCUGUUAACAGAACAAGACAUACAAUGCCUUGAAAAAGUAUCAUACCCCUUGAGCUUUUCCAUUUUUUCAUGUUACACCCACAAGCUUAAAUGUAUUUUCUUGGGAUUUUAUGUGGUAGACCAACACAAAGUAGCAAGUAAUUGUAAAGUGAAAAAAAGUUUCAAAAACGUUUAAUAAAUACAUUUGAAAAAGUGUGGCAGGCAUUUGUAUUUAGCCUCCAUACUCUGAUACCCCUAAAUAAAAUCCAGUGUGACCAAUUGCCUUCAGAAGUCACUUAAUUAGUAAACAGAGUCCACAUGUGUGUAAUUUAUUCUCAGUGUAACUAGAGCUGUUCUGUGAAGACCUCAGAGGUUUUUUAGAGAACAUUAGAGAUCAAACAGCAUCAUGAAAACCAAGCAACACACCAGACAGGUCAGGGAUAAAGUUGUGGAGAAGUGUAAAGCCAGGUUAGGUUACAAAAACACACCCCAAGCUAUGAACAUCUCACGGAGCACUGUUCAGUCCAUCAUCUGAAAAUGGAAGGAGUAUGGCACAACUGCAGACCUACCAAGGCCAUCCAAUUAAACUGACAACCCAAACAAGGGGAGCACUAAUGAGAGAAGUGGCCACGAGGCCCAUGGUCACUCUAGAGGAGUUGCAGAGAUCCACAGCUCAGGUGGGAGGACCUGUCCUUAGGACAACUAUUAGUCAUGUACUUCACAAAUCUGGCCUUUAUGGAAAAGUGGUAAGAAGAGUGUCAUUUUUGAAAACAAUGGGCAAAAAUUUCAGCCUCUAGAUGUGCAAAGCUGGUAGAGACAUGCCACAAAAAAUUUGCAGCUGUAAUUGCAGCGAAAGGUGGUAAACAAAUAUAUGCCACAGUUUCCAGAUUUUUUUUUAAUUAAAAAUUUGGAAAACUGUGUAUAAUUUUCUUUUCACUUAACAAUUACCUGCUAUUUUGUGUUGGUCUAUCACAUAAAAUCCCAAUAAAAUACAUUUAGGUUUGUGGGUGUAAUGUGAAAAAAUGUGGAAAAGUGGUAUGAGUAUGGGGUAUGAAUACUUUUUCAAGGCACUGUAUUUGCAAACACCUUCAAUUUUAUUCUCUGCCUUAGAGAAAUAAACACAUUUACCAGUUUCUAAGGCUGUUAACAGAACAUGACAUCCUGGCAAGCUACUUAUAUUUGUCUUAAUAUGUUGCCUUAGAGGCGUAAAUGUCUCUAAGGCAGCCAAGAUAAAGCGUCCUUCCAGGCUGUUUAUCACUUAUUUUGCCUUGCAUCAGAGUGAAGCAGGUUGAACCAGAUAGCUUGUAUAGACUUAUCAGGUUGUUAACACUAAGUAGCCUGACAGGAACUUAUCUGUCUUUGACCUUAAAGACAACUACCCAAGUGGCCUGCAAGAAGGUCUUGUCUUGUUAACAGCCUCAGAGGCAUGAUUACCUGCCUAUGAGGCCACAAAAACAAGCUAGUCCAAUAGGAAUUUGGCUCACUCUUCUUCACUCUGAUGCAAGCCACAAUAAAUAAACAGCCUGGAAGGAGACUUUGUCUUGCAGAAAUGAGGCAUAUACAGUGGAGGUGUGAACCUUCCAACCAUUCAUCUGGAAACUCAUCUGGUAAUCCAGAAAAGACUUGAACAAAUUCUUGCCCAGUUUAUGUGUCAUUUCAGUUCAUUUCUGUGAACAACACUCAGGGGUGCAUAGUCAGAGCUUUGCUUGAACACAGUGGCCAUGAUCUUAAAAUUCACAAGGAGAAAUCCAUCAGCUAUAUUGAUGAUGGCCUACACCAUCUUACUUAUAAGUGGUUGUUACAAGGGCUUUCCAGUAGUGCUAUUCUGUUAAAAACUGUUGAAUGGGCAACCAAGCAUGGGAUAUUCAAAUCUUUUGGAUAGAGGGUAUUAUGUCAAACCUCAGGACAUCAGAAACAUCAGGAAGUUUUAAUUUGGAGCUACGAAUUGAUGGCAGUGACUGCAUUUCUGUGGAUAAAUUGAUCAAAACAGAUUUACAGGACAGCAUUCUUUAUUAUCAACCAUUGUCACAUACUGAGAAACAGCCACUUGUAGUUGUGUAUAGUUCUCCUUGGCUGUUAGAACAAUGCAAGAAAUUUGGACCUAACAUGAUAUUUUUGUAUGCAACUUCUAAAGGUGUCAUUCAGUAUGUUUUUGCUUUUUAUGCUGUACUGGUAAAUAACUUGGAUUGUCAAGGGAUAUCAGUUUCUUUUUUCAGUUUCUUUAAGUGUGGAGUCCUCAGACUGUCACGGUUGGCCAAUCCCAGUCCUGUCCAUGUGUUCGUGUUUUGUUACUCCGCCCUUGAUUGUGUUCACCUGUCCCUCAUUGUCCCAUGUAUUUAAGCCCUGUGUUUUCCCCUUGUGUUUGUCAGUCUUUGUAUGAAUGUAUUGGUCUGUUUCAUGUCCUUGCUCUGUUUUUAUGUUUGCUUUGUUUGCGUCAUGUCUGAACCCCGUUCUAUCCGUGUCGGCUAUAUGACCUUGGACCGUUAUGACACUGAUUCUGGAUUUGCACUUAAUAAAUCUCACUUAUCUCAGCGUAUGCAUCUGUAACCUAGUACACAAGGUCUAAACCACCUUGUAUAUACAAUAAGGGAUUAAUGAGAACUUGUUUUAUGUGGGUCCGAUAGCAAUGUACUACCGUAGAGUCUGAAUAAAGAAAUAUCAGGCCCAAGCA